AUUUCUGCCAGACAGACACAAACUGAGACUUGAAAAUGUGGGAACAGGCUGUUGAGGAGUUGAAUGGUGCAGUUGAAGAUAAGGAGGAAGCUCUCAAAGUAGAUGCUGCUGCUGAAGUUAAGUUGGCCUACUGUCCACCUGGAUGGCUUAAAUAUGAAUCACUCUCCUUUCAACAUGAGAUCAAUUCUGUCCUGGCUCAAUGCUGAGGCCCAAGCAAAUGCUAAAGCGUCUUCUGCUCAGUGUUCCUGGGAUAAGCUCUGGAUCCACCAUGACCCUGACAAGGAUAAAAUGGUUACUGAAGAUGAAUGAAUGAAAAAUGCCAAAUGGGGCAUGUGUGGUGCAGCUCGAUUGACCCGCAAUCAGUGUGUAACGCCUAACUGUACUGCGCUUGCAACCAAUCACUGAUCACCAUUGUUCCCCAUGACCAGUUACUGAUUACCACUGUUUUCCAAUGACCAAUCACUGAUCACAACUGUCA